rnacentral:rRNA from 1 species
UAUGGAGGGUGCAAGCGUUAAUCGGAAUUACUGGGCGUAAAGCGCACGUAGGUGGUUUGUUAAGCUAGCUGUGAAAUCCCCGGGCUCAACCUGGGCACUGCAGUUAGAACUGGCAAGCUAGAGUAGGGUAGAGGGGUGUGGAAUUCCAGGUGUAGCGGUGAAAUGCGUAGAUAUCUGGAGGAACAUCAGUGGCGAAGGCGACACCCUGGACUCAUACUGACACUGAGGUGCGAAAGCGUGGGGAGCAAACAGG